rnacentral:rRNA from 1 species
CCUACGGGAGGCAGCAGUGGGGAAUAUUGGACAAUGGGCGAAAGCCUGAUCCAGCCAUGCCGCGUGUGUGAAGAAGGCCUUCGGGUUGUAAAGCACUUUCAGUGGGGAAGAAAGCCUUGGGGCUAAUACCCUCGAGGAAGGACAUCACCCACAGAAGAAGCACCGGCUAACUCCGUGCCAGCAGCCGCGGUAAUACGGAGGGUGCGAGCGUUAAUCGGAAUUACUGGGCGUAAAGCGCGCGUAGGCGGUCUGAUAAGCCGGUUGUGAAAGCCCCGGGCUCAACCUGGGAACGGCAUCCGGAACUGUCAGGCUAGAGUGCAGGAGAGGAAGGUAGAAUUCCCGGUGUAGCGGUGAAAUGCGUAGAGAUCGGGAGGAAUACCAGUUGCGAAGGCGGCCUUCUGGACUGACACUGACGCUGAGGUGCGAAAGCGUGGGUAGCAAACAGGAUUAGAUACCCCAGUAGUC